UGACCUAUGGUGUAAUGGUAGCACACCUGAUUUUGGUUCAGUCAGUCUUGGUUCGAAUCCAGGUAGGUCAA
rnacentral:tRNA from 1 species